rnacentral:rRNA from 1 species
GGCGCAGCAGGCGCGAAAACUUUACAAUGCGAGAAAUCGUGAUAAGGGAACCCCGAGUGCCCGUAAAUUCGGGCUGUCCGCCAGUGUAAAUAACUGGUGAAGAAAGGGCCGGGCAAGACCGGUGCCAGCCGCCGCGGUAAUACCGGCGGCUCGAGUGGUGGCCACUAUUACUGGGCUUAAAGCGUCCGUAGCUGGAUUGUUAAGUCUCUUGGGAAAUCCACCGGCUCAACCGAUGGGCGUUCAGGAGAAACUGGCAAUCUAGGGACCGGGAGAGGUGAGAGGUACUCCAGGGGUAGGAGUGAAAUCCUGUAAUCCUUGGGGGACCACCUGUGGCGAAGGCGUCUCACUAGAACGGCUCCGACAGUGAGGGACGAAAGCUGGGGGAGCAAACCGGAUUAGAUACCCGGGUAGUCCCAGCUGUAAACGAUGCGCGUUAGGUGUAUCGGUGACCACGAGUCAUCGAGGUGCCGAAGGGAAACCGUGAAACGUGCC